rnacentral:ncRNA from 1 species
UGACUACCAAGCGGGAGCCGAGCGUCGUCGGCUGAGAUUGUAACGAGAGUGUUACUGACCGUUGAACCUGAUCUGGGUCAUGCCAGCGGAGGAAGAGGUAUAACGAAACGU